GUGUUUGAAUACAUAACUUUCCAUUUCUCUCUCGUCAUAAACAAAACAGUUUCUUCUUUAAUUUCCCUCUUUGUUUCAGAGAACCAAAGUAGCCGAGAUUGAAGAAUUGUGGUUGCUGGAGUGCAUGUGUGCUGCAAGCGAAGAACCCGAUGUGAAAAGGUUAAUACAUACCACAAAUCCAAGAGAAUCAAAAUCCAUAAAUGAGGCUCAAGAUCCGGAUGAGGUAGAUUUUUUUUUUGCGUAACACAACGUUUGAGAAGAUCAUAUCACAAGCCAAAAAUCCAUUAGUCUCAAGUAGUUUUGGGAAGUUCGUCAUUGUCUGCGUGCUUAGAGUCAGAGCCGGCUUGCAAUGAUUCUGAAUCAACCACACACCCCGGUGGUCGUUAGAUACUGUGUAAACCCAGCACAUGUCAAAGUGCUAGAUGAGGAAUCAAAGGCUGAGGUGAUCUCCAUGAUUGAGGAUAGGUACACACUCCCCACAAGACCUGGCUCGUAUUAGAGAAUAUAAGAAACAAAAAGAGAAGGAGGCCAAAGAGAAGAAAGAGAAAGAGACAGCCAACCGAUGAAACCCGAUCUACCCAACAUAGAUAAAUGUUGAUGUGUUUGUCUACUUUAAUGUUUUUACCCCUUAAACCUGUAUCCCCAAGUGUUUUCCAUAGCUAAUUGAAUGCUCUCUCCAGAUAAUUUAAUGUAUUAUUGGUGUU